rnacentral:tRNA from 1 species
GCCUUCGUGGUGUCAUGGUCGGCACGCUCGAUGCGUAAUCGAGAGGUCCGUGGUUCGAAUCCCGGCAAGGGCU